CAGGCUUAACACAUGCAAGUCGAGGGGUAAGGUUCAGCUUGCUGAACACACGACCGGCGCACGGGUGAGUAACGCGUAUGCAACCUGCCUUUAACUGGAGCAUAGCCCGAAGAAAUUCGGAUUAAUACUCCAUAACAUCAUAAUUUCGCAUGUUAUUAUGAUUAAAGCUCCGGCGGUUAAAGAUGGGCAUGCGUGACAUUAGAUAGUUGGUGAGGUAACGGCUCACCAAGUCAACGAUGUCUAGGGGGUCUGAGAGGAUGGUCCCCCACACUGGUACUGAGACACGGACCAGACUCCUACGGGAGGCAGCAGUGAGGAAUAUUGGGCAAUGGGGGCAACCCUGACCCAGCCAUGCCGCGUGCAGGAUGACGGCCCUAUGGGUUGUAAACUGCUUUUAUACGGGAAGAACCACAUCUACGUGUAGGUGUUUGACGGUACCGUAAGAAUAAGCAUCGGCUAACUCCGUGCCAGCAGCCGCGGUAAUACGGAGGAUGCAAGCGUUAUCCGGAUUUAUUGGGUUUAAAGGGUGCGUAGGCGGAAUAAUAAGUCAGUGGUGAAAUCCUGCAGCUUAACUGUAGAACUGCCAUUGAUACUGUUGUUCUUGAGUAUAGUUGAGGCAGGCGGAAUGUGUAAUGUAGCGGUGAAAUGCUUAGAUAUUACACAGAACACCGAUUGCGUAGGCAGCUUGCUAAACUAUAACUGACGCUGAGGCACGAAAGCGUGGGGAGCGAACAGGAUUAGAUACCCUGGUAGUCCACGCUGUAAACGAUGAUAACUCGUUGUUGGCAAUACAUCGUCAGCGACUGAGCGAAAGCAUUAAGUUAUCCACCUGGGGAGUACGGUCGCAAGAUUGAAACUCAAAGGAAUUGACGGGGGCCCGCACAAGGCGGUGGAACAUGUGGUUUAAUUCGAUGAUACGCGAGGAACCUUACCUGGGGCUUUAAUGCAGAACGACGUUUCGGGAAACCGAUUCUCCCUUCGGG
rnacentral:rRNA from 1 species